AAUGAUGAAGGUCUUAGGAUUGUAAAAUUCUUUCACCGGGGACGAUAAUGACGGUCCCCGGAGAAGAACCCCCGGCUAACUUCGUCCCAGCAGCCGCGGUAAUACGAAGGGGGCUAGCGUUUUUCGGAAUUACUGGGCGUAAAGGGAGCGUAGGCGGNCAUUUAAGUCAGGGGUGAAAUCCCGGGGCUCAACCUGGGAAUUCCCUUUGAUACUGGGUGUCUUGAGUAUGAGAGAGGUGUGUGGAACUCCGAGUGUAGAGGUGAAAUUCGUAGAUAUUGGGAAGAACCCCAGUGGCGAAGGCGCCUCACUGGCUCAUUACUGACGCUGAGGCUCGAAAGCGUGGGGAGCAAACAGGNUUAGAUCCCCUGGUAGUCCACCCCGUAAACGAUGAUUGCUAGUUGUCGGGAUGCAUGCAUCUCGGUGACGCAGCUAACGCAUUAAGCAUCCGCCUG
rnacentral:rRNA from 1 species